rnacentral:ncRNA from 1 species
CAUGGCUACUGAGCAUUACUGAUAGGACCCGAAAGGUGGGUGAACUUUGCCUGCACAGGUUGAAGUCAGGGGAAACUCUGAUGGAGGACCGUACGGGUUAUUGAUGUGCAAAUCAUUUUUCUGAUGUAGGUAAAGGUGCGAAAGACUCAUCGAACCACCUAAUAGCUGGUUUCCUCCGAAGUUUCCCUCAGGAUAGCUGUAAUGCAUUUAGUUAAGGGGAGUAGAGAUAUGGGUAGAGGUGCAGGGAGCCUUCGGGUUCUCAACUUAUUUCCAAACUUCGAACCUCCUUGUUAGGCAUUUACCUAACUGGAAAUGCUUAAAUGAAUUAGCGUUACAAGUGGGCUCUGACCGGUAAGCGGUCAUGGCGAAAUGGGAUGAACCAUACGUCUGAAUAAGGUGCCGAAAUGUACUAUCACUGAUACCAUAAAGGGAGUCCAUGUAUUUAGACAGCAGGUCGGUGCCCCUAAAAGCAGGUAUCCGCUAAAGAGUGUGUUAAAACUCACCUGCCGAAUACUAGGGCCCCGAAAAUGAAUGGCGCAUAUAGUACUACCGAUCUCAGACAUCAGUUCUAUUGAACUGAGAGUAGGGGGAUGUGGACAUUUUUGUGAAGGUGCAAUGUGAGUUGGACUGGAAGAAUGUCUAUUACAGAUCCUAAUUGAAGUAGCGAUUAUCCAGGCUUGUAUCCUGGGGGCUGAUGAGGAGUAGGGUUUCUGGACAACUUAAACAGAUCCAGAGUUAGUCGAUCCUAAUCUCAAUAAUGGGAGAAAGGGAGUACAGUUGAUAUUCUGUAACUGACAACAGUUCGCGGCAACGCAUACUAUUUUUCUCCGCCAAUCUUAUACCGUUGGUAGGGAUCUCUUUCCUACAUGACAGUACUAAUACCCAGGGAAACUGGUCAUCAGGCGAACUGCGGCGUUCUGCUGGCAAAACAUAGCUUCGGUUAUGUCAAUGGCUAUUG